rnacentral:rRNA from 1 species
UACGGAGGGUGCAAGCGUUAUCAGGAUUUAUUGGGUUUAAAGGGUGCGCAGGUUGUUUGAUAAGUCAGUGGUGAAAGUCUGUCGCUUAACGGUAGGAUUGCCAUUGAUACUGUUAGACUUGAAUAUGGAUGAGGUAGGCGGAAUGUGUAGUACAGCGGUGAAAUGCAUAGAUAUUACACAGAACACCGAUUGCGAAGGCAGCUUACUAAUCCAUCAUUGACGCUGAGGCACGAAAGCGUGGGGAUCAAACA